rnacentral:lncRNA from 1 species
CACAUGAAAUCAUGCAAGAAACGGCUAAACAGGGCACUUUCGGCGGCAGGUUCGGCGGCCGAAAGUCCCUCUGCAGCCGAAGGUCAUGCAGGUUCGGCGGCACUUUCGGCAGCCGAACCUCCCAGACAGAGACGAAACUUGAGUUUCGGGGGCAGGCUUCGGCAGCCGAAACUGCCUCCACAAGGGGGUUCGGCGGCCGAAAGUCACUUCGGCGGCCGAACCUGAGUUUCUGCCGAAGGGCAGAAACUUGGCUCCCUUGUGUCCACAGCCUCCAAAACGCCUCAAAACCUGCAUAAACUUGUCUCUACACAUGCAUACACAUCAUACCUCACACCUAGGGGUCUCAAACUAUAAUAUACCCCAACUACAAC